rnacentral:rRNA from 1 species
UACGUAGGGUGCGAGCGUUAAUCGGAGUUACUGGGCGUAAAGCGUGCGCAGGCGGCUUUGCAAGACAGAUGUGAAAUCCCCGGGCUUAACCUGGGAACUGCAUUUGUGACUGCAUGGCUGGAGUGCGGCAGAGGGGGAUGGAAUUCCGCGUGUAGCAGUGAAAUGCGUAGAUAUGCGGAGGAACACCGAUGGCGAAGGCAAUCCCCUGGGCCUGCACUGACGCUCAUGCACGAAAGCGUGGGGAGCAAACAGG